rnacentral:lncRNA from 1 species
CAAGUCCUUGCAAGUUCUUCAUAGCCAAUUCCAAACUUCUCAAUUUUAUGGUCAUUUCCUCUUGUUCUUUUGUCAUAACAGGCUUCUUAGUGUUAGGAGGAAAUUCAGGUGGGUGAGUAUCACCGUAAAGACCAGUCAACUUGAAUAUAGGCUCGAAAGUGUAACGCUGAUCACCAGUAAUAUUCAAUGCAGGCUCUCUUGUAGAGUAGGGAGGCACAACUUGUGGAUGAACAUCAAAAGUAGGAUCUUCAAGUGGGGGUGGCAUCGCAAAAUCAUGAAAAACAGGUGGAGCAGAGUAUGUGGUAGUCUUGGAUUGAGGAGUGAGGAAAUGAA